rnacentral:tRNA from 1 species
GCUUGGGUAGCUCAGUUGGUAGAGCAUUCGCCUGAAGAGCGAAGGGUCAGCAGUUCGAGCCUGCUCCCAAGCACAA